rnacentral:lncRNA from 1 species
UGUUGGUGCAAAAAUCCGCCUGCGCCGGAGAAGCUGGAGUUGAGGAGGCCGCGGUCGCCGCCGGGACCUGCAAGGGAAGUCUAAACCAGAGGUGGGGUUGCUCCGGCAAGACCCUCCGACGCUCAAGUCAGUUCUCUGCCUCAACAAGAAUGGAGUGCUCGAACGGAGAAUUUAGCAGAGUUUUGAGAUAAGAGAAAUGAGCUUAAAA